UACAGAGGUCCCAAGCGUUGUUCGGAAUCACUGGGCUUACAGGGCGCGUAGGUGGUUGAUCAAGUCUGGGGUGAAAUCUUUCGGCUUAACCGGAAAAGUGCCUUGGAUACUGGUCAGCUGGAGGGAGGUAGGGGCAGUUGGAACUUCCAGUGGAGCGGUGAAAUGCGUUGAUAUUGGAAGGAACGCCGGUGGCGAAAGCGAACUGCUGGACCUCUUCUGACACUGAUGCGCGAAAGCUAGGGGAGCAAACGGG
rnacentral:rRNA from 1 species